rnacentral:rRNA from 1 species
UACGGAGGAUCCAAGCGUUAUCCGGAUUUAUUGGGUUUAAAGGGUGCGUAGGUGGCCUGUUAAGUCAGGGGUGAAAGACGGUAGCUUAACUAUCGCAGUGCCCUUGAUACUGAUGGGCUUGAAUGAACUAGAGGUAGGCAGAAUGUGACAAGUAGCGGUGAAAUGCAUAGAUAUGUCACAGAACACCAAUUGCGAAGGCAGCUUACUAUGGUUUUAUUGACACUGAGGCACGAAAGCGUGGGGAUCAAACAGG